UUGAGUUAUAGGUGGACUGGGUAUUGAUAGAGCAUGACGCUACAUCGUGGAUCAUAUCAAACUCUUGUCUUCCAUGCUCUUUCAGGAUCUGGUUGUCGCAUGCGAAGGAUACACUGGAUGUCAUGAUGCAAGACAGAGCUAUACGCACGUGGGAUUUUCUCUUGGUUCCCGCAUUUCUUACUGAUUUCGUCACCUUCAUCGGAGGGUUUCAUGCAGCUGGAAUUUGGAUCCAUCGUUUAGAAAGUGGAAAUUGGGGAUGGUUUAUAAAUUAGUGCUUUCGUCGAUAAUACCUGAGUCGCCAACAUGCUCAACACUUACACAAUGUAGAGCUACAAGCAAUCUUUGAUUGCCAUUAGACCGGGCUUUUAUUCUGCCAUCGACUGACCUUUAUUAUCUCUUGUCCAUUGGAUUUAUCAGCAACGGCGGUGGACUUCAUGAUGACGCAAGAAUAGCCUUACGACUUAUGUGGUGAUAAGGCACAGGAUUUCGUUCCUGAGGUAGCAUGUUGAUUAAUGGAGGGGUAUAAAUGGUUUGUGUUAGUGUAUCUGUUCUGGCAGACGUUUGCAAGUUGAAAUUUAAGCUGAUGCAUUUCCUUUCUUUAAGUGGAGCGGCUUGGUUCAAUUUUCUAUCACUUAAUUGGGAGCCGUAUCUCUUUGCCUUGAGGUUUAGUAUGGUUCGUAUUCUGGAUAGAAACGACUUUAUCCUGGUCUACGAGUCAUUGCCGUUGCUUGAGCAAGUUAAGGUUCACCCACUUUAGUCUCAAAUCGCUUUCAUUAGCUAUAUUGCCUACGUUUCGUAAAAGCCAUUUCUCGUUAGUUUCAGUUGAAAGUCGAAAACAGUGUUUUCCAUCGAUCAGCCGUAGGCUUUGCCUUGUAUAAGAAACGUCGUCGAUUUGCACUCUCUUGUUACGUGGCUACGUAUGAAAGUCUGACGAGCACAUCCACGUUUUGGAGGUGGGUGGAGGAAAUUGGUUUGAUAUUAGGAUCGAGCCAGGGUUCGUGAAAGAACUCAAUGGAGAGGCAUAUGCACCAAGCUGGCGUUAACUCACUUAGUGACACAAGAUCUUCAGUCUUUCAAUACCAGUUCUUUCCAGGUAAGUCUCAUGUCUGAUGAUCAUCUUAUUUGGACCUGUCCAAGUGAAAAAUACUGUGCGACCUCUCAUCACUCUGUUCUUUCCUGAGGCAUCAAGAGAGUUAACACUCUGGAUCGAAUGAGCAAUUGCCAUCGAGUUCUUAUUUGUAUGGGUCAGCCUUCCCCUUCACUCUCAAACGUCAUUGACACGUGUGUGCAUUCUUUAACUCAAGUUUUCUUUAGACCGAUGAGUUGUUGUAUGGAAGUUGUAUAUAAACGAUUGUCAUGGGUUUUUGUUAUGUGAGCAACGACGUAAUUUGAACCAUUUUAGUUCUGACGAUGUACUUUUUCUUGUCCUGGUAUCUGAGGUACUCCACGUAUUGCAAUGAAAUUGUUGAAAAGAAAUCCCGAGGAACUACCUCUAGAUCUUCAGUUUCAGCAAAUUCGUUGAGCUUGUGGUAUCAUAUUGAUUACAUACUUGCCACAUCUAUCCUUCAUGUCUAGAAGAGGCGAGUAGCGGUCUUCACACACCAAGUAGGUUUUAAUAUGCCAAGAGAUUAGUAGGUUUUUGCUUAAAAGUGGUUUUCAGUAGUUAAAUCAUGUUCAGGAUUAGGUACUAAUCUGCCCCUUGUUCCACAUAUUGUUUCAAAAUCGGUAUAUCUUAAUUAUGUUAUAGAGAGCUACAAUCGACCUAAUUGUCUUGUUCUUAUAAUAGUUGUAACCAGGCCAACUUCUAGCUGAGCAGAAGUGCAUCUUCAACUUCUUCUCAUUGUGAAUUUCAUUUAGAGUGAUCGUGAAACUGAUUCCACAAUUUCAGGGUGUUUUAUUAUGUGUUGGUUCUUUACAGUUCUUACUUUCGUGAUGCUGUCAAUAGUUCGAUGCACCUCUGCAAGGUAGCGUAUAGAAGUUCAUGAGGUAGUUAAAACGAGGAUCAUAGAACAUGGUAUGAUCCGAGAUCCUGUCAUCUACUUUUGGAAAUGAACACAAUUUUAAUGCUCGUUUUGUGCACGCUUGCUGACAACUCGACUAAGGCUGUUGAUUUCAGCACCUAAUUCAGAAUAUAUGAAAGUUUACUACAUUUGGAUGCGAAAUUCACAUCUUGUGUAGAGCGUCCAUAUGCUGUGGGUCGUUGUUUUCUAGAGGUUCGAUAUUUUCACCCUGGCUUGAAUCUUUUUAUCUCGAAUUAAAUUUUUUCUUGUUGGAUUAGAACAUGUGCCUGCUUAUGCAGUCGUCUCUCUCUCUCUGCACAUCUCUACAUACUUCUGUACUCUUGCAUGCAAGUGACUAUUAUUGUUUGAUAAGUAUUAUAAUUCGCUUCCUAGAUGUGGGAUUUUCUCUCUUUUAACGUGGUGAUGGAACUUCAGAAUUUUGUGAGAAUCUGCUGGGACACGUAGGUUGUAAUGAUUUGUUUUACUAUAUGUUUCGCAGAUCGUGAAGUGGUACACGAUUUCUGAUAUUAUGUAAUACAUAUCCAGAAUUAUUUUUUUUCCGCCUUGGGCAUAUGAAAACCUCUCUAUCAGGUCGAAAACGAUACGACACUAUCCAUUGCAAGGACUCUCAUUAUUGCCGCUAGAUUGGUGUUUUCUGAGAACUGCACGGUUGAAAAAGAAGUUGACUUGGCAGCUUCUUGCACGUCCCAUGUUGUUCUUUCAGAGAGCAUACAGUGUGUUGAGGUUCUGGGUUGUAGUUAGGUGGUGCGUCAAGUCGUUGAUGAGGACAGCAUCUUUCCUGCCUGAGCUGGGCAGGUAAUUUUGAUCUGGUAUUUCAAGGCUAAGGGAUGAUUCCACUGAGCCUAACGUUUAAAGAAAAAUAGGGAAAUGGUGAAGCUUAUACUUGCGUAUGUUCCCUCUUCUAUCCAGUUCGCAGGAAGACAAAAGGGGAAUGGUGGAGAUUAUACUUGCGUAUGUUCCCUCUUCCAUUGCAAGCAAAGUGGUGACGAAUGUUGCGGAUAUCGAGAAGUUGAAUAACUUGAUGCUGUUCAAGUUGCAGUGAAUAAACCUCUUUUGGCCUAACAUGAUUGUGCCUGCUGGCCUGGCACCCUUGCAUAUUUCUGGUAGUAUGCAAGAUAAUGAAGAUAUUGUGGUCGAACUCACGAGCGAUCGCGAGGUUUGUACCCAUUAUUCCUUCUUAGUAGUUCGUCCAGUAGAACUGGCCGCUCAUGUGCAUGGUGAGCAAAUAAUGUUGUAGAAUUGCAGUAUCAGUUGACCAUUUCAGCUGUUAGGGUAACCUCUUCAAUAAAUAUGUCAUAUAGAUGUAUUAAUAGAAUGAUUAGUAAUAAUGUGCAACAAAAUUUGUAGUUAGUGAUGUAUACAAUUGGAUCCAUCAAAACCAGAUCUGACUUUGUAAAUUAGAUAUUAAAUGACUCAUUCUUUAAAUAUUGAUUGUCAA